GGAUAUGAGGGUGAUCUGGCUGUGACAGCUGUCACCCCACUGACUGCCCACGUUAAUUCAGCUGAUCUGGCUGGCUAGGCAGGUGUCCCCCUCAUCCCUCACCGCUCCAUCUGCCGCCCUCCCAAAGCUGCAUGCUCGGUCAAAGAGAGCAACCUUCCCCAGUGGAGGAGGACCGUGGACCUUUCUUCAUUUGAGGGUAUACAAGUAGCUGUGCUCCCCUACUAGAGCCUCCAAACAAGCUCUCAAAAACUGGGGCCAUAUUCAGGACCUCAUAAGCCAUGUUUAAAAUUGUUGCCAUUAUUUUAACAU
rnacentral:snRNA from 1 species